rnacentral:rRNA from 1 species
CGAGCGGACAGAUGGGAGCUUGCUCCCUGAUGUUAGCGGCGGACGGGUGAGUAACACGUGGGUAACCUGCCUGUAAGACUGGGAUAACUCCGGGAAACCGGGGCUAAUACCGGAUGGUUGUUUGAACCGCAUGGUUCAGACAUAAAAGGUGGCUUCGGCUACCACUUACAGAUGGACCCGCGGCGCAUUAGCUAGUUGGUGAGGUAACGGCUCACCAAGGCGACGAUGCGUAGCCGACCUGAGAGGGUGAUCGGCCACACUGGGACUGAGACACGGCCCAGACUCCUACGGGAGGCAGCAGUAGGGAAUCUUCCGCAAUGGACGAAAGUCUGACGGAGCAACGCCGCGUGAGUGAUGAAGGUUUUCGGAUCGUAAAGCUCUGUUGUUAGGGAAGAACAAGUGCCGUUCAAAUAGGGCGGCACCUU